UCUUCGAUAGUAUAGUGGCUAGUAUAUUGCCUUGUCAGUCCUCAUGGACCAACGCGGCAGAGACCCGGGUUCAAUUCCCGGUCGAAGAG
rnacentral:tRNA from 1 species